rnacentral:rRNA from 1 species
GGUUAAGUGACUAAGCGUACACGGUGGAUGCCUGGGCAGUCAGAGGCGAUGAAGGACGUACUAACUUGCGAUAAGCGCAGAUAAGGCAGUAAGAGCCGUUUGAGUCUGCGAUUUCCGAAUGGGGAAACCCAACUGCAUAAGCAGUUACUGUUAACUGAAUACAUAGGUUAACAGAGCAAACCGGGGGAACUGAAACAUCUAAGUACCCCGAGGAGAAGAAAUCAACCGAGAUUCCGGUAGUAGCGGCGAGCGAACCUGGAUUAGCCCUUAAGCACUCGGUGAAGUAGGUGAACAAGCUGGAAAGCUUGGCGAUACAGGGUGAUAGCCCCGUAACCGACGCUUCAUCGAGCGUGAAAUCGAGUAGGGCGGGACACGUGAUAUCCUGUCUGAAUAUGGGGGGACCAUCCUCCAAGGCUAAAUACUCCUGACUGACCGAUAGUGAACCAGUACCGUGAGGGAAAGGCGAAAAGAACCCCUGUGAGGGGAGUGAAAUAGAACCUGAAACCGUGUACGUACAAGCAGUAGGAGCACCUUCGUGGUGUGACUGCGUACCUUUUGUAUAAUGGGUCAGCGACUUAUAUUCAGUGGCAAGGUUAACCGUAUAGGGGAGCCGUAGCGAAAGCGAGUCUUAACUGGGCGCUCAGUCUCUGGAUAUAGACCCGAAACCGGGUGAUCUAGCCAUGGGCAGGUUGAAGGUUGAGUAACAUCAACUGGAGGACCGAACCGACUAAUGUUGAAAAAUUAGCGGAUGACUUGUGGCUAGGGGUGAAAGGCCAAUCAAACUCGGAGAUAGCUGGUUCUCCCCGAAAGCUAUUUAGGUAGCGCCUCGGACGAAUACUACUGGGGGUAGAGCACUGUUAAGGCUAGGGGGUCAUCCCGACUUACCAACCCUUUGCAAACUCCGAAUACCAGUAAGUACUAUCCGGGAGACACACGGCGGGUGCUAACGUCCGUCGUGGAGAGGGAAACAACCCAGACCGCCAGCUAAGGUCCCAAAGUAUUGCUAAGUGGGAAACGAUGUGGGAAGGCUCAGACAGCUAGGAUGUUGGCUUAGAAGCAGCCAUCAUUUAAAGAAAGCGUAAUAGCUCACUAGUCGAGUCGGCCUGCGCGGAAGAUGUAACGGGGCUAAGCAAUACACCGAAGCUGCGGCAAUGUCUUUUAGACAUUGGGUAGGGGAGCGUUCUGUAAGCCGUUGAAGGUGAAUCGUAAGGUUUGCUGGAGGUAUCAGAAGUGCGAAUGCUGACAUGAGUAACGACAAAGGGGGUGAAAAACCUCCUCGCCGGAAGACCAAGGGUUCCUGUCCAACGUUAAUCGGGGCAGGGUGAGUCGACCCCUAAGGUGAGGCCGAAAGGCGUAAUCGAUGGGAAACGGGUUAAUAUUCCCGUACUUCUGACUAUUGCGAUGGGGGGACGGAGAAGGCUAGGUGGGCCAGGCGACGGUUGUCCUGGUUCAAGUGCGUAGGCUUGAGAGUUAGGUAAAUCCGGCUCUCUUUAAGGCUGAGACACGACGUCGAGCUGCUACGGCAGUGAAGUCAUUGAUGCCAUGCUUCCAGGAAAAGCCUCUAAGCUUCAGAUAGUCAGGAAUCGUACCCCAAACCGACACAGGUGGUCGGGUAGAGAAUACCAAGGCGCUUGAGAGAACUCGGGUGAAGGAACUAGGCAAAAUGGUACCGUAACUUCGGGAGAAGGUACGCUCUUGAUGGUGAAGUCCCUCGCGGAUGGAGCUGACGAGAGUCGCAGAUACCAGGUGGCUGCAACUGUUUAUUAAAAACACAGCACUGUGCAAAAUCGCAAGAUGACGUAUACGGUGUGACGCCUGCCCGGUGCCGGAAGGUUAAUUGAUGGGGUUAGCGCAAGCGAAGCUCUUGAUCGAAGCCCCGGUAAACGGCGGCCGUAACUAUAACGGUCCUAAGGUAGCGAAAUUCCUUGUCGGGUAAGUUCCGACCUGCACGAAUGGCGUAAUGAUGGCCACGCUGUCUCCACCCGAGACUCAGUGAAAUUGAAAUCGCUGUGAAGAUGCAGUGUACCCGCGGCUAGACGGAAAGACCCCGUGAACCUUUACUACAGCUUGGCACUGAACAUUGAACCUACAUGUGUAGGAUAGGUGGGAGGCUAUGAAGACGUGACGCCAGUUGCGUUGGAGCCGUCCUUGAAAUACCACCCUUGUAUGUUUGAUGUUCUAACUUAGACCCAUUAUCUGGGUUGAGGACAGUGCCUGGUGGGUAGUUUGACUGGGGCGGUCUCCUCCCAAAGAGUAACGGAGGAGCACGAAGGUGGGCUAAUCACGGUUGGACAUCGUGAGGUUAGUGCAAUGGCAUAAGCCCGCUUAACUGCGAGAAUGACGGUUCGAGCAGGUGCGAAAGCAGGUCAUAGUGAUCCGGUGGUUCUGUAUGGAAGGGCCAUCGCUCAACGGAUAAAAGGUACUCCGGGGAUAACAGGCUGAUACCGCCCAAGAGUUCAUAUCGACGGCGGUGUUUGGCACCUCGAUGUCGGCUCAUCACAUCCUGGGGCUGAAGUCGGUCCCAAGGGUAUGGCUGUUCGCCAUUUAAAGUGGUACGCGAGCUGGGUUUAGAACGUCGUGAGACAGUUCGGUCCCUAUCUGCCGUGGGCGUUGGAAGAUUGAAGGGGGCUGCUCCUAGUACGAGAGGACCGGAGUGGACGAACCUCUGGUGUUCGGGUUGUGUCGCCAGACGCAUUGCCCGGUAGCUAAGUUCGGAAUUGAUAAGCGCUGAAAGCAUCUAAGCGCGAAGCGAGC